CGGUUCUCUCAAGCUCAACUCUCGUGGUUCCAUACGAGCUAUCCUGAUAGCUCUUCUUGCUCUAGUUUCUUUAGAGCAUACCAUGGGAAAAGUCCCCGGGCCCUUGACAGAAAGUGUCAGGACGUAACUCGUCCCUCUUGUCACGCAGUCGGAAGCGGAGGCCCUUGUCCCUCGGCUUAGACAAGGUGCAAAUUUGCCAGACCGUUCUACAGUUAUGUUGAGAGAAGAUUCCGGGAAGCGGGUUUCACUUCUUCCUCUCUCUCUCACACAAUGGGGCUUACUCAGAAAGAACU
rnacentral:RNase_MRP_RNA from 1 species